AGGCUGUUACAGGUAGUUAGAUAGGGAUGAGCGGGGCAGGAGAGGGCUCUUUCUCCACCUGCUAGAAAUGUCAGGUGAUGGUUUGACAAUUAUCAGACUGCCUCUCUAAAAAUGAAAAUUUGGCAGCCCACCCAGGGCCAGGCAGAGGCCAUUUCCUGAUGAUCCACAGCUAUUAACAUUAAAGUGUUAAUUGAAAGCAGAUGCCUGGGAGAAAAAGCUUCCUGGGCAUGCGCACUAAGAGACAAAAUGGUGAAAUAUGACCUUCCGGGUACAGUCCGCCGGAAAAAGAGAAGAAAGCCUCGGAUGGGCAUGAGUGCAACUUUCUAAAUACAGUGUGCAGUGAUCAGUUCCCAAGGAUGGUUCUUACAAGGAGAAAAUCCAGAAACUAUCAAUUGGCUACCUUGAUGUGAUCCUCUUCAAGAGGAAGCUUGGACUUAUCCCUGCUUCACAGAUGGGUUAUGAGAUAGUCCAGAGAAGCUGCAUUCUAAGAAGCAUUAUGACCUGUCUUCUGAGAAACAACACGGCAUCACUUUUACCACAUUCUUUUGGUCACAAGGAGAGGGAAUUACACAUCACCUGAUUUUGGAUGCAUGUGUGAGGUAUGCUACUGUACUCACAAGACAUCUGAAACUACACCCAGAUCAUCUAGAAGUUAACAUGUUCCAGGUGAUGUCCCUAUGUAAACCAAGGGUUGGUUUUCAGUGUUCUGGAGGCUGGGAUGCCCAAGGUCAAGAUGCUGACAGAUUGAUUGUCCCUGGAAAGCCUGCUUCAUAGAUGACCAUCUUCUCCGUGUGUUCUCCCUGUGUUCUCAGGAGUGAGGGUACCUUUCUGGUGCCUUUUUUUCAUAAGGACACUAUUCCCGUUCCUGAGGGCUCCACUCUCAUAACACAACAUCCAGAAGGUCCUACAUUCUAAUAUCAUCAUACUGCAGCACAGAAAUUUGGCCUCUUCUUUGGAGAAGAAAAAGUGUUAUGUCUGCCUCGAAUACAGAUAUUCCUAUUUAUAUGAAAAUAAAUAACAGGGAACUUAACCUUCUACUCGUCAUAAUCUACUGAGUACAUCCAUUGCCAGGGAAUUGUACAGCACAUUUUAUGCAGCAAUUGAGAGACAGAUGCAUGGAAAUCACAGAUGAAGAUGAAAAUACCACCUUCACGGCCAGUCAAGUGUUAAAGAAUGUGAUUUAGAUGCAGCCAACGGUACCUACAAUUACACUCCAACAAAAUGGAACUCACUUCAAACUAAGAGCCCAUUCCAUGGAGGAGAGGAGAAUGAGAAUGUAGAACAGUCAGACAAAGGUAGAGAAAGGAAGAAUCCCAGCCAAUUCUUGAAGCUUAGCUUUAAAUCCAGUUUGUUCCUAAACACUCAGCAACCAGGAGUCUGACUAAUCUUCAGGAGGGGAAGAAUAAGUGCAGAAACUGGUGGUUUUACUUUACUUACCUUGAAAACAGGCCCAAAAUUGGGAAGGGGAAUUACAAGGGGAAAAAUUAUUCCCUGUUAAUAUUUUUCAUUUUACUGUCACAAUAUUAAGAGAUGUUUGUUGGAGGAAAAAAGUUGUAUUUCCCAAAGACUGGUUUCUAUACAUGUGAGAGAUACAUGCCAUAGGAGAGAACAUUGUGAGAAUAUUCCUGGCCCCUCUUUACUUCCUCCUACUCCCCAGUUCUUCCCUAAAGAAGAUGCAACUUAUCUGAUCGGUGAAUUUGGAGCAAGAACUAAGCAAGCUUCGUUUAGCCUCCACUGGCUCUUCCCUUUGUAUCUGCUUCUCUUCUGAGAAGGUGUUCAUCUUGGAAGUCAACGCACUUCAGUGGGAUCUGCCUUUUAGAAAAGCGGGAGGCUAUCCUCUGGUGCUAAGGACAAGUAGGUUAGGCUCAAAACUUUAGGUUGAAGCAUGAGAAAGUUCACUGUGUCUACAUAUCUAAGCAUACCUCUAUUCAGCUUUAACAGUCAUACAGCUGGCAUUUUUCACAUUUUAGCAUCGUUCUAGCUGUCCUAACUCUCAAUCAAUCCCAACUCAGGAGGAAAGAAAUGAAAACUCACCAACUUGGACCUUAGUCUGCAGCCUCGAGAAACUGGCAUUUUGGUAGCAACACAGCACAGAUUUUUCAAGAUGACAGAUAUGACCUACAUUGGUGGUUUUAGUUUUAGGCCUUAGGCAUAGAUGGUAUGAGACCACCCACUCUGAGAACUAACGGCUACUAAUUGUGUCCAGGUUUUAUAGAUGCAGAGAUAGUUUUAUUGGGAAACUAGGCUUCCUGGUCCUUAGUGAGAAGCAGCAAAGCAUUGAAGAAUAAGCUGCUGUAGGUUACACUAAUGGACUUGCACAGGAACAGGUUUUAUCUUAGCAACUGAAGUUCAAGAUUGGAAUGAGGAGAUGAGCAAGACUUUCACUAUUUGUCAAAACAAUUUCAGACUGGCAGAAUUUUAAUGUAUAGAUCUCCUGGUUUGGCCUCAGUAUGAAGAAAGACUGAACAAUAUUUGUUGUGGUGGCUGUGUCUGCAGGCUGGAAUAAGAUACUAAAAAAGGAAGCUGGCUUCCACAAAGCACCAGUGUGUUGUUCCUGCCAGGCAUGGUAGGCAAAUCUAGAUCCCAUGUCACAAGUGCUGUUUCUUUCUAUUUUGUAUAGCACUUAGAGCCAAUGAAAAGGACUGGAGUGGGGCUAAGCUCUUUGAUUCCUGAGGUUUGUCAUAAAUCAAGGAUUAAGUCCUCACCAAAUAGUUUCAAAUUGGCUCCAAAGAGUUUAGUUGAAUAGUCUUUGAAUAUGAGCUAAAAUAUCAGAGUCCUAGACAGGCUACUGGAGUUUUCGGUUUGAACCUAAAAAGCAGCUAUAUUUUUAUUCCAAAUCCAAUGUCUAAUCAACUAAUAAAGGUUGGAAAGGCCUGUCGUUGGAAAGGUCUCUCGAAAACUUGGUUUUGCUCAGGAAAUUAAGAAGAAACUAGAUCAGCAAGGAAAGACAUCUAAAUGUCACUCUAAGCACCAAAAUCAAAACAAUUGGAUAAUAAGACAAAAACAAAAACAUGUGAUGUAAUUAAGCUGAAAAAAAGACAUUUCAUUAGGAGAAAUAUUAACAAGUAGACUAAAUAGAGAUAUACACAGCAUAUUAGAUCUUGGAGGCCAGACUAGACACAUUUGAAAGGGCAAAGAGAUGCACCUAGAUUGAAUUGCUUUUAAAAGGAAGACUAGAAAAAGUGUGGCCAUAUUUGUCAUUAGAUAAGAAAGGAUGGAUAUGAUCAAACUAAAUCUAACAGCUCAAGAGGGACAAUAUCUCAAUGAGAGACAGAAAUGGCUCCCCAAGAAGUUCUAGAUAAAACAUUCAGAGGGAUCCUCUCAAAGUUGUAGAUAGAAGCUACAAUAACAGCCAUUGUAACCAUUCUUUGAAGAAUAGUUAAAAGGAAUUGAAAAAAAGGGGCCGGGCAUGGUGGCUCAUGCCUGUAAUCCCACCAUUUUGGGAGGCCGAGGCAGGCGGAUUACCUGAGGUCAGGAGUUCGAAACCAGCAUGGCCAAAAUGGCAAAACCUCAUCUCUAUUAAAAACACAAAAAUUAGCCAGGUGUGAUGGCACACACCUGUAAUUCCAGCUACUCAGGAGGCUGAGUCAGGAGAAUCACUGGAACCUGGGAGGCAGAGGUUGCAGUGAGCCGAGACUGUGCCACCACUCCAGCCUGGGUGACAGAGCGAGACUCUGUCUCAGAAAAAAAAAAAAAAAAAAAAGGAAGAAAAUUGUGGGAUUUGAGAGUGAAAUAACAGGAUGAUCAUUAUAGGUGAUUUCAAGUUCUAUAGGUGACAACCAAGUUGAUAUAGUUAUCAGAAGAAAAAAUGAAGAUUUUUUUUGCAUACUGAAGAAAUAAGUUUAAGAAAUUUAUGGAGUUGGAACUCUAUAGAAAUGCCAAAGAGUGAGAUAUACUAAAUGAGAGCCAGACUGGACAGGAAUUGGCCAUGUUAAAUCUAGAUUAUUUGAUGUUGUUUUCAUCCAAGGAGAAUGAUUUCCUAUCUGAGUUUUUCCUACUCAGAAAGUUGAAUUUGGAGUCAUUUUUUUUAAAACAGUAAAUUCUUUUGGCAGACCUCAAAUUAUCAAUAUCUCAUCUCUUCAAAAUAGAGGAUAAGAUAGCAGGGCUUGGUGGCUCAAGACUGUAAUCCCAGCACUUUGUGAGUCUGAGGUGGGUGGAUUGAGGCCAGGAGUUCAAAACCAGCCUGGCCAACAUGGUGAAACCCCAUCUCUACUAAAAUACAAAAAUUAGCUGGGAGUAGUUGUGCAUGCCUGUAAUCCAAGCUACUCAGGAGGCUGAGGCAUGAGAAUUGCUUGAACCUGGGAGGCAGAGGUUGCAGUGAGCUGAGAUUGUGCCACUGCACUCUAGCCCGGGCAACAGAGUGAAACACUCUCCCCUACCCUCAAAAAAAAAAAAAAAAAAAAAAAAGAGGAUAAAACAGGACACAAGUUAAAGCUAAAGAAAUCAGUUACUAACAAAUACAAAUAAUUUUAAAAUGAGGGCCAGAAAGCCAAAUAAAAUCAAGAAGGAAGAAAGACCCUCCAAUCCAGCCAUCACUACCAGCUCUAUAUGUGGGAGAGAAAGAAGAAGGAAGGAUAGAAUGUGAGAAUCUUCACUGAAGUUAUAGAAAAUGACAGAAGACUACCAGAGGGAAAAAAAACCACUAGAACAUACCCAUAUCCCACUACUGUGGACAAAUAUUGGACAUGUCCCAGCAACCAUUGAUGCAGCAUAAGUUAUUCAGGGCCAGGACAUUUAAAAGUUGAAGAAGGUCAAGGUACUAAAAAAUAAAACAUGACAAAGGUAUUCACUUUCAUGAUGUCACCAGGGGUAUAAAUAUUAGAAGCAUCAACAGAAUCUGUUGAGGGUGAUCCUUUAGGAAGCUCUAAUGUGAGAAUAAAGUGGAAACUUUCCUGGGAGGGAGGCUUUAUAAGCUGAGGCAAUGCCUUAGCAGGAGAUAGUGGCAGUAACACUUUAGCACCAGACUAAAAAUGCCUGCUUACAAGCAAUAGUGGAGACUGUGUCAGCAGGUAUAGCCCAUACUCUGUUCUAAUUUGGUGUCAAAAACUCAGGCUUCCAGAAAAAAGGAAAUACAGAAUCUGGAAUGUCCUGGACAAGAAAGAAAGGCAACUCAAAGAAGAUCAGGCAAUUGUGAAUGUCUUUAAAUGAGUAAGGAAAUAGUGAACACUGUGUAUAGGUAGACGGCUAUUUUGUGUGUGUGUGUGUUUUGUUAUAGAGCUCAUGUAAAACUGUAAUUAAUCAUUUUACUUGCUCAUGCUGUAUUCAAUUUUUAAAAAUUUUUGUUUAUUUAUUUUUUGAGAUAAGAUCUAUUCUCUGUCACCCAGACUGGAGUGCAGUGGCCCAAUCAUGGCUUUUUGCAGCCUCAAACUCCUGGGCUCCAGUGAUCCUCCCACCUCUGCCUCCCCAAAUGCUGCAAUUACAAGUGUGACCCACCAUGCCUGGCCCAAUUAAUCUCUUGAAUAGAAGUUUCUACAAACUAAGUUUAAAUUCACAUGUCAGGAAUAAAUGCCAUAGGCCGACCAGCACCCUAGAGAAACCAAGGUUCACUUCAUCUACCCAACUUGCCUCAGGUGGAAUGGAAUCUCUGCUUGAUCUUUGGCAAAAGGUGAGUUUAGAUUAUAUAAAUGUUUGGGUCAUGACAAUAUCAUUGUCCCUGGAGAGCUUUACUAGGGGAUGAGUAUUUGUUUAUGUUUCUAAAUAUGAUAGAGAUCAUUCUGGUGCUGUGAUAAACUUGUGUUUUCUAUUAUCAUUCCCAUUAUUAUUAA